rnacentral:sRNA from 1 species
CCUCUUCGAUCAAUUGCGGGCAAAUGAAGUGGAUGUGGCUGUCAAAGCCGCCGGCGGUGACGAUGCUGCCUUCGCAACUGAUGAUUUCGGUGCCUGGGCCAAUGACGAUGUCCACGCCCGGCUGGGUGUCGGGGUUGCCGGCCUUGCCGAUGGCCACGAUGCGGCUGUCCUUGAGGCCGAUGUCGGCCUUGAUGAUGCCCCAGUGGUCGAUGAUCAGGGCGUUGGUCAUGACCGUGUCCACCGCCCCUUCAGCCCGGCUGCGCUGGCUUUGCGCCAUGCCGUCACGGAUG